rnacentral:tRNA from 2 species
GCCCUCGUAGCAUAACGGCGGUGCAUUGCCUUGGUAAGGCAAAGGUUCCGGGUUCAAAUCUCGGCGAGGGCU